AUUAAACGCUGGCGGCAUGCCUUACACAUGCAAGUCGAACGGCAGCACGGGGCAACCUGGUGGCGAGUGGCGAACGGGUGAGUAAAGCAUCGGAACGUGCCCUGGAGUGGGGGAUAACGUAGCGAAAGUUACGCUAAUACCGCAUAUUCUGUGAGCAGGAAAGCAGGGGAUCGCAAGACCUUGCGCUCUGGGAGCGGCCGAUGUCGGAUUAGCUAGUUGGUGGGGUAAAGGCCUACCAAGGCGACGAUCCGUAGCGGGUCUGAGAGGAUGAUCCGCCACACUGGGACUGAGACACGGCCCAGACUCCUACGGGAGGCAGCAGUGGGGAAUUUUGGACAAUGGGCGGAAGCCUGAUCCAGCCAUGCCGCGUGAGUGAAGAAGGCCUUCGGUU
rnacentral:rRNA from 1 species